GAAUUCUCUCUGUAGACCAGGCUGGACUUAUAAAGAUCCACCUGCCCCUGCCUCCUGAGUGCAGGGAUUAGAGCCACCACCUGGCUGUGUUUAUGUUUUCUGACACAGGGUCUCGCUCUGCCUCAGGCUAGCUUCAAACCUGCCGAAACCCUCCUAACACAGGCUCCCACGUGUUUGGGAGCACAAGUGUGAGCCGCCGAGCCCACCUCACCAAGGCAGCCACAGGAAGGGCUGGGGCUUGGUGGGUGGAGCGCUUCCUCAGCACAGAGCUCUGGGCUGCACCACUGUGCCUGUCAUCCCUCAGCCGGAGAGGCAGAGGCAGAAAGAUGGGGAGUUGAAGGCCAUCCUCUGCCACACAAGGCGGAGCCCUGGAUGCCGAGCAUUCUGGGCAGUGACUUUACCCUAGCUACGCACAUCCCAGAGUUUCUGUGUCUCCGUGUACUCCGUGGAGUACAUCUUGACCGUAUCGCUGGGAGGGGACAGACCAAGCCAGUCCAGAGGAAGGCAGGGAGCCAGGGCCAGGACCCCCUCCGCUUGUACUGACCCCAUCGAAGGCCCCACCAUGCCUCCUUCCAGCAAACCCCUGGAGAGCAUUCCCUCUCCGGGUUUAACUGACUUCUGGCGUUUUCUCUGCCCCCCAACUUCCAUGUCCAAUGGGUGCAGGCUGGUGUGUGGCUUGUGUUAUGUUUCUUUGAUAGCCGUACAAUUUGCACGUGCCUGUAUGUGCGCAAGUGUGUGCAGUGUAUCACUCUUCACCUCGUUCUUCAGAGUCUCUCACUGAACCCGGAACUCUCUCAUGAGGCUUGCCCUGCUGCCCGGGAGCCUCGAGGACCCUCCUGUCCCUGCCUCCCCGGCUCCCCUGGUCCCCACCUGCUUC